GGAUGUGAGGGCAAUCUGGCUGCGACAUCUGUCACCCCAUUGAUCGCCAGGGUUGAUUCGGCUGAUCUGGCUGGCUAGGCGGGUGUCCCCUUCCUCCCUCACCGCUCCAUGUGCGUCCCUCCCAAAGCUGCGCGCUCGGUCGAAGAUGACGACCAUCCCCGAUAGAGGAGGACCAUUCUUCGGUCAAGGGUAUACGAGUAGCUGCGCUCCCCUGCUAGAACCUCCAAACAAGCUCUCAAAUAGAAAGAAACCACACAGAUUUAGAAGCAUUUGGACAUUGGCAACAUUAGUUUUAAAACUUGACAUUUAAUAAU
rnacentral:snRNA from 1 species